CAAAUUCUUGGUUUAACGCUUUAUUACAUUUCUCCGUUAACUUUAACACUACAUGUUAGUAAUUGUUAACUUUGUUACCUAUAACGAUUCAUGAUCUUGCUCAUUGAAGACUGAGUUUCCACUCCCCUAAACCCUUCUUGUUCCCAAAAGGACCACGACAAGGGGUUUGAGACAGCCAACGAUAGCGAGUUUGGGCGUAGUGACAGAGGAAAGGACCAUUCGCAAUCAGUUAACAGGAAUGAAGAUGGACUUCAAUACCACUAUUCUUGAGCAGAAGAUAUCUAAAUAAGAUUACUCGGAGGUCGGAGAUGAUGACAUUAGCAAUGUGGAUGAAGAUACCAGACCUUAUAUUCUCGUUAGAGCUUAUUUUUUCUCAAAUAGUGGAACAGAACAGGAUAAAUUUUAUCCCACCGACAUCAAGAAUGACUAAUUAUGUUCUUCUCUAAUUCGGGGAGCUUUCUCAAACCAUGUGAGAAUGUAUGGAUUGAGGAAUGACUCAUGCAAUGCUUGGUUUCCUGUUGCUAUAUGUUCAAUAUAUAGACGAAGUUGACGAUCUGUGAUGGACACGAUGGAACUGCGUUGUCAAAUGGAGAUUUGACCAAAGUGAGGUCUACCUAUGAUGAUGAUGACCAAUGCAAAAGACAGCAACGUGGCCCAACCAUAGUUGGCUCUGAAGAUGUACCGUUUUUUCUUCUCCUACCAGCAUAAAUGAGUUUCAUAAUUUUUUUGAAACCUGUUAUUCUUUGUUUUAUGAAAUUCCUCUUCUAAUUUUGCCUAGGCCCACAACUCUUCAGCUACCUUGCGUCUAUAAGGUCAUUUUCAUUUCUCUGUAACUUUUCUGCAGAAUGUUUUAAUUUUAACUUCGUAAUUAGAGAUUGUGGCUCUUUCUCAGGUUGAAAA